rnacentral:rRNA from 1 species
AUGGCGUCCACUUCGGAUGCCAACUCUGUUGCGAGCGGUGGCGGCGUGGUGGCCGCCAAAUCGGACUUGGAAAACUGCUUCGACCAGUUGGAUCUCAACGAGGAGUUCGAGGAUGUAGAUAUUGAUGAGGAUGAUCGUGAGAUUAAAGAAAGCGUCUGGUGGCUCGCCCUGGCUAGGGUUCACACCGACAAAAAUUUCAGCCAAUCUGUGUUUUACAGGGAUAUGCGAGCGGCGUGGAACCCGGCGCAGCACGUGAGGUUUCGGCCUGUUGGCCCUAAUCGGUUUGUCGUCCAGGCAUCAUGCUUGGGAGACUGGGAGCGCAUGAUGAUGCAGGGCCCAUGGCUGUUCCGCAACUAGGCGGUGUUGAUGUGCCCAUAUGAUGGGUUCAGUAGAGCGGAGGAUGUAAGCUUCGUUCAUAUGCCGAUCUGGCUCCAAAUUCACAAGUUACCUGACCCUUAUUGCAAGAAGAACAUUGUGGAGAAGCUGUUAAAGGGAGCAGGCGAUAUUAUGGAGAUGCGCCUGAACGGAAACACUAGGGGGGAUUUCAUAAGGGUGCGUGUGAAUCAUGACAUCCAACAACCUCUUACGAAAUUCGUUAGUAUCAUUCGAGCAAAGGAACGGCAGGUGUAUCUGGUCUGGUAUGAAAAACUAGCCAGGUUUUGCAAGAUGUGUGGCCUUGUUGGUCAUGAGCAUAAGGAGUGUGGACUAGGGAUCCAUGAUGAGAAGAAGCUCAAAUAUGGAGACUGGAUGUAUGCAGAUGCACCCAAUAAGCCCAGGGCAGAAUCAAACCCUGGCAAUAUGUCCGGGUCCCGCUCAUCACCAGGGAAGAGAGGAGGUCACGCUGCUCAAACUAACCCCGAUCAUGAGAGGGUUGAUCCAGAGACCUUGGACACGGCUUCAAGCCCGGUAAAGAUUGCUAAGGAAAGGAUGGAAGUGGACAAGGAUCCCAAGAAGAGGUUAAACAUGGAUGCGGAUGGGCUUGAAACUGUUGCUUCAGGAUAG